CUGAUAAAUGGAUAUCUGUGGUAAAUCUAGAGCUAAUACAUGCAUAAAAACCUUUUUGUUUUAACAAAUUGGUUAAAUUAUCGUUUCAAAACUAACGGGUUCGCCCUGUUUUGUUAACUCAUGAUAAUUAAUGACCGUUCUUUAAUGAAUGGAUAUUCAUAUUUGGUAUCUGCCCUAUCAACUAUAUGACAGUCUAUUGUACGGUCAUGGUUGUGCCGGGUAACGGAGAAUUAGGGUUCGUCUCCGGAGAGAAUGCCUUAGAAACGGCUUUCACUUCCAAGGAAGGCACCAGGCGCGAAAAUUACCCAUUCUCAGAACGAGGAGGUAGUGACGUGAAAUGACAAGCUUUAAUUCUUACGAAUUGAAGCAUUGGAAUGGUUGAAUUUUAAAAUCAUUCAAGAUUAUCAAUGAGAGGGCAAGUCUGGUGCCAGCAGCCGCGGUAAUUCCAGCUCUCAACUACAUUGAACUGCUGUUGCGGUUAAAAAGUUCGUAGUUGCAAAUGUACAUAUAAAUGUGGUUUAUCAUUUUAUUAUGGUAUAACUGCAUUUUGUGUUAUUUAUAUUUUCUUUACGGAAAAUAUAAUGAUACCCUGAGUAAAGCAAAGUGCUCAGAACAAGCUAUUGCUUGUAUGUUUUUGCUGGGAAUAUCAACGAAUACAUUAGUUGACGUUUGUUGGUUUACAGCUAUGUAUGAUUAAAGGGAUAACGGGGGCAACGUUCGCAGGGGAGAGGGAAAUCGGUGAUCCUGCGAACGGCUAUAGCAAAGCUUGGCAAGAUGUUUCUUUAUCAAAACGAAGUCGAGGUC
rnacentral:rRNA from 1 species